CUUUUGCUCUGACUUCUUCUCAUCUAAGCAUUUGCUUCGGCCUACAAAAGCUCGGACGAGCGGGGAAUAUCAUAAACUCAAAGAAGACCAGGGUCAGCCGACCUAGAAGAAAACACAAAUAGAGAGAGGUCAACUGAUUAAUAGGUAUACUUGUCAAGCGACACAGACACAGGUACAUAAGGAAUCACAUCAUCACCUCCUUCUUGCUCUUUGGCUUUAUUAGCGUCAGCUGAGGCCUCUCUUUGAUCAUUCCUGUGUUUCGGUGCUUGCCCUUUCUUUUAAGAAUAAAGAUCUUCAUCGAUCUCCACUACGGCUGUCACUCCUACAGGAUCGGGAUACUUUUUUUACGUAUUACGAGAAGGUCGUUGAAGUAGGAUCGCUAGUGGGAUAGUCCAGCGGUACUCCUUGCCUCUGUUGACACAAUUAACCAACGGGGACCGACAGACAGCUUGCUUAGUAAAGUCUUUUAUCUUCCAUUCAGGGGUCAUGAAUGAUUAACAGAAACGAAGGGUGAGUGCAACGAACUAGAAUUUUGGACCAGUCUUGUAGCGAAUAAAGGAAAAAGGUCCCGGUAGGGGUCAGCAGCGUCGGGAGGCGGAGGUGAACAACAAGGACUCUCUCUCGUAGCCGAUAUCCCGCCCUUCUUCCGUAAGGAUGGAUUCGGGCUUAAGCCAACUCGACCAAGGGGGGAAGGAUUUUGAGGAGGAUAACUCCUUUUCAAUAAUAGGAGCGUAACCUACUACUAAUGUAUGUAGACCAAGGACUUUCCAUUUCAACGGGAUUCUCGUCUCAAGGGCAUUUCCGCCAAUCACUUCAACAGUGCCAAAAUGCCCUAUUCCUUGAGUCACUGGAACCGCUGACCCAACUUACAAGAACCUCCGUACUUCUUAUGAGCCGGGAUCGAUCAUAUUCGCAUUUCCACUAUGUUUCAGCCCCGAGCAGCCAUCGAAAGCAAAGAGAUCAGGUCGUUAUAUUCUACCAAAUAGAUGCCGAUGCUCCCGAACUGCUAUAGGAGUCUAAUUAUCAUUCCCUUCCCGCAUCACUAGAUCACUAGAAAGAUAAAGCGAUCGAGGAGCGAAGUUAUGAGCUGACAUGAGUGGAAUCGAAGCAACUAGUCCUGUCCAAAGAGUCCCAACCCAGGGAAAGUCCUUUGUCAGGGGCGAAAGCCGGCUCAACAAAGGACUUUUUUCAAGGGAUCGUCGACAAGAACUACUCAUGAAGACCCAAAACCUCAGUAUGUGGAAAAUUCUUCCAAUCCGGGUCGGAAAGAAGGGUGGUGCCUUAGCUCAUGGGUGUAAAAACUUUUGGUCAUGUGCUAUCUGCUUGUCCAAAAGGCCAAGCCAAUGUAACCGGAAAGGAAGAGUUUGAUCCUGGCUCAGUAGUAGGACCAGUUCCCCCCUCAACUACUUAUUGAUCAGUUGGUAAACCCCCUUCCUUUCGGUCUAGUAGCUGGUUACCUCCUUUCCUUCGAAGUCUUUGUCGAGCUUAUCCCCCUUUCCAGCUAGAGCUGUUUGUAUAUAGUUCAACUGCAACCCUUGUUAGCCGAGCUGUUUNNN
rnacentral:lncRNA from 1 species